CUUGAUUUUGAUGUUUAAAAAGACAUGUAUUCUUCCAGCUGGAGGUUUCACACAGCUGCAACACAUAAGCAGUUUGUCUCAAUUGCAGAUCUGUAGUCAAAUCGUAGGUUUUUUUUUUCCUCAGCUGGGGUUUCUGUCUUCUCAUUGACACAUUCACAAGGCCUUUGAGAAAUUAGCAACAGAAAGACCUCUGCUGACAGAGAACAGAUUUAGAAGAAAAGCACUGAAAACAGAAAUAAAACCACAAGGCAAUUAAGUUUUUGAUACAAAAGAGCAGAAGGCAGGAUGGUGAAGCGGUACACGUGUCCUCUCUGGGGAGCACUGAUUCCCAUAACAGCCCUGUGCAGCAUCAGGCUUGACAUGCAGCUUUGCAGCAGCAGCUGCUUUUGCCUGCUCGAACAGCAUUGGCACGCCAACCUGUGACAUAUCAGGACACAUACACAAAGUUCACAGGCACCAGCGUCGGGAACGGUCACAGGCAGUCAUUCGCUGUGCUGUGUUGCUAACUGGCAUCCAGAAACCUCUGUCAAGGACACAGUAUUGUCAGUUACCUUCCAAAAUCCUGAGUUCUUUAAAAAUAAAGAUAUUACAAGAAAUCGAAAUAUUUAUACUUCUUUUCUGACUUCUCUGCUUCUACAAUAAUGUCAUGU